rnacentral:rRNA from 1 species
CAAUAGCGUAUAUUAAAGUUGUUGCAGUUAAAAAGCUCGUAGUUGAAUUUCGGGUCCCCGCGCUCGGCGCUUCAUUGUGCCGUCGUGGUGUCCCUCCUCGCCGUAAGGCGUCCUUUACUGUGAAAAAAUUAGAGUGUUCAAAGCAGGCAAUCGCUUGAAUACAUUAGCAUGGAAUAAUAAGAUAGGAUCUUGUCUAUUUUGUUGGUUGCGGACAACGAUAAUGAUUAAUAGGGAUAGUUGGGGGUGUCCGUAUUGAGCUGUCAGAGGUGAAAUUCUUGGAUUUGCUAAAGACGAACUACUGCGAAAGCAUUCACCAAGGAUGUUUUCAUUAA